rnacentral:rRNA from 1 species
AGAGUUUGAUCCUGGCUCAGGACGAACGCUGGCGGCGUGCUUAACACAUGCAAGUCGAACGAUGAAGCCCUUCGGGGUGGAUUAGUGGCGAACGGGUGAGUAACACGUGGGCAAUCUGCCCUUCACUCUGGGACAAGCCCUGGAAACGGGGUCUAAUACCGGAUAACACUCUGUCCCGCAUGGGACGGGGUUAAAAGCUCCGGCGGUGAAGGAUGAGCCCGCGGCCUAUCAGCUUGUUGGUGGGGUAAUGGCCUACCAAGGCGACGACGGGUAGCCGGCCUGAGAGGGCGACCGGCCACACUGGGACUGAGACACGGCCCAGACUCCUACGGGAGGCAGCAGUGGGGAAUAUUGCACAAUGGGCGAAAGCCUGAUGCAGCGACGCCGCGUGAGGGAUGACGGCCUUCGGGUUGUAAACCUCUUUCAGCAGGGAAGAAGCGAAAGUGACGGUACCUGCAGAAGAAGCGCCGGCUAACUACGUGCCAGCAGCCGCGGUAAUACGUAGGGCGCAAGCGUUGUCCGGAAUUAUUGGGCGUAAAGAGCUCGUAGGCGGCUUGUUGCGUCGGUUGUGAAAGCCCGGGGCUUAACCCCGGGUCUGCAGUCGAUACGGGCAGGCUAGAGUGUGGUAGGGGAGAUCGGAAUUCCUGGUGUAGCG